rnacentral:rRNA from 1 species
GACGAACGCUGGCGGCGUGCUUAACACAUGCAAGUCGAACGGAAAGGCCCUGCUUUUGUGGUGUGCUCGAGUGCCGAACGGGUGAGUAACACGUGAGUAACCUGCCCUUGACUUUGGGAUAACUUCAGGAAACUGGGGCUACUCUCGGAUAGGAGCUCCUGCUGCAUGGUGGGGGUUGGAACGUUUCGGCGGUUGGGGAUGGACUCGCGGCUUAUCAGCUUGUUGGUGGGGUAGUGGCUUACCAAGGCUUUGACGGAUAGCCGGCCUGAGAGGGUGACCGGCCACAAUGGGACUGAGAUACGGCCCAGACUCCUACGGGAGGCAGCAGUGGGGAAUAUUGCACAAUGGGCGGAAGCCUGAGGCAGCAACGCCGCGUGCGGGAUGACGGCCUUCGGGUUGUAAACCGCUUUCGCCUGUGACGAAGCGUGAGUGACGGUAAUGGGUAAAGAAGCACCGGCUAACUACGUG